rnacentral:misc_RNA from 1 species
AAAAGAACGAGAAACUGAAUAUCAAUUUAACCUUUGUGUGUUUUUCAGGGUCUUAUCCUGGUUAGAGAAAUAUUUGGUGAAAAAAAAAGGAAGUAUUCUUCCUUUUUUCUUCUUUAUUUUGGUGUACUAGUUCUUUUCUNNNUGUAAGACAACAAGAUGUGAUAACAACUUGAGUAUGGAGUGUGCAUGUUCUUCCAAUGACCCC